GACGAACGCUGGCGGCGUGCUUAACACAUGCAAGUCGAACGGAAAGGCCCUGCUUUUGUGGGGUGCUCGAGUGGCGAACGGGUGAGUAACACGUGAGUAACCUGCCCUUGACUGUGGGAUAACUUCAGGAAACUGGGGCUAAUACCGGAUAGGAGCUCCUGCUGCAUGGGGGGGGUUGGAAAGUUUCGGCGGUUGGGGAUGGACUCGCGGCUUAUCAGCUUGUUGGUGGGGUAGUGGCUUACCAAGGCUUUGACGGGUAGCCGGCCUGAGAGGGUGACCGGCCACCUUGGGCCUGCGAUACGGCCCAGUCUCCUACGGGAGGCAGCGGUGGGGAAUAUUGCGCAAUGGGCGGACGCCUGAUGCAGCAACGCCGCGUGCGGGAUGACGGCCUUCGGGUUGUAAACCGCUUUCGCCUGUGACGAAGCGUGAGUGACGGUAAUGGGUAAGGAAGCCCCGGCUAACUACGUG
rnacentral:rRNA from 1 species